AUGACCUUCAUGUGGGUGUUGGUGCUAGCAUCGAAUGGAAAUCAAAACCAACAAAUCCAAUUCUUGGUCAAGGAUCCAAGUGAUUUUUCCACAAUGUUGUACUUGACGAGGGCAUAAUUUCUUACAAAAGCAACUUACUAUCUUCUUUACUUAUCUCAUGGGGCAUCUAAGAGACGACUCCACAAAGGUCAGUAAACAAGAAAAUAAAAUGCAGACAUGAUAGCGGAAGUAAUUUUGAUAAUGAGGAUCUCAAUGAGAGUAGAGUGGAAGCCAUGGGAGAUAUUGUCUUUUUGUUGAGUGUUUACCUUACAUUAUGACAUUUAGGUUCUUCAAAUCACCUCAUAAUACUACUACGUUGAGAAAAAAAAAUAUGUAUGAUUUUCACAAAAUGAUGGCUUUUAAAACUUGAACUCACAUUCUU
rnacentral:lncRNA from 1 species